rnacentral:siRNA from 1 species
CCGUGUCAAUCCCGACUACACUC